CCUGAGGGCCCGCCCCUCCGGGAGGAGCCGGCCAAUGGCAGGCGAGGACGGCAGCACAACGUGGAGCGGCCGCAGAAUGUAAACACGCCGGAGCGCGCCGCCCGCCACGUGCGGAGCCGGAGCCAGCGGCCGGGCGACGAGCGCACGGGAAGGGCGCACGGGAAGGCGCCUCAGCCCCGCUGGACGAGUGGGAAGUAAAAUCCAACCUUUUUGCAUCUCUGCAAAAAAUUCCCCACCUAUACAACCAUACAAGUACAAAUUGUCAUAAAAGUGCUGGGAAUGGAACCCAGGACCUUGCACAUGCUAGGCAAACCCUCUACCACUAAACUACAUCCUCAACUCUUGGAGUCUUCUUACCACUUGUACUUUCAGUGCAUUGAAGAACACUGUAAACCACUAGUAGGUAUAACAGCAAAAUGGUGGUGAUGAUGAUAAUGAGUAAUCAACUAAUAAAAUGUAUUUUUGGCCAGGUUUCCAAAAAAAUGUUUAACAGGUUAACAUUGUUCUGUGUUAUUAGACUUGUAUCUAACACACAAUAGUUGCCUAACAAAACGCCUAAUGAUUAAGAACUUCAAUUGAGUUAUAUAAAUUUUUUUCUUCAGUUCUUACAAGUGCCAAUUUUAGAUAUAAACGUUAGAUUUUUCACACAAAAACCACGACGUGCUACCUACUUACUAUAGGUGGUGUGGUAAUCUUAACCCCAAAGGAAAAAAAAAUCCCAAUAAUUGAUUUGUUUGCUGGUUUACAGGAAAAAAACACUAAGCAUAGACAAAGCAAAUGAAAAGUCAGUAAGUGACAGAGAUGUAAAUGUACUUAAGGGAUAAAUGUGAUGGAAAGGUUUUUUUUAAAAACAAAAACAAAAAAAGUAUAGUUUAAUACACAAACCAAUUCAUGUUGGCCAAACAAAUUCUGAUGGCUGACCUUCCAGCUUGUGAGACACAGCUUUCAUGUGAUGUAAGGGAGUAGGGGCAAAGCUACAUGUAUUCAGAACCUUUGUCCAGAAGACACUUAACUGGUCUAUUUCAAGUUACCAACAUAUGACCCUAUAAUAGCUGUGGUAUAAAAUAUGCACACCUCCAUGAAAACAAAUAGUAACAACUUCUCAGUUUAACAAACUCUAUAGACUUGGCCCCUUAAUUAGAAAACAAACAAAUAAAAGGGGAAGUCAAUAUGGAAAAGACUUAAGAAUUAGUCUAGAUUCCUGUUCUAAGGAGACAUCCUGCCUGGCACCUAAUCAUAGCCAGUGUUUAACCUUCCCCAUCUGACUGCAGCUCUAAAUGCCCAGCCUCAUCAGCAAAAAGCACUGUACCUUCCUGAAAAAUUACCAGGGUUCCCUGCAUCAAGCUGCUUCAGGGAUAAUACAUAGCACAUAACAGUAUGCUUCGUUUUUCCUUGAAAUUAUUUCAUAAACAAAUGUUUAGUCAUGGUUGCAGAGGGGCUAGGGAAAUGAGCAGUUUGAAUAUAUGGCAAUGGUAUUAUUCUUAGUAGAAUGCGCUUCAAGCUGUAAAUGGGUUUAAUCUUCCAGAAAGUUGGUUGCAAGUAUGGAUGGCUCACCAAAAUCCAUCAAAACUGCUCUUUUAAGAGCUGGCCAGCCGGGCAUGGUGGCGCACGCCUUUAAUCCCAGCACUUGGGAGGCAGAGGC